CGGGCGGCCCGGCCGCAGCUGCUGGGGGCCAGGCGCAUCCACCGCCCCCUCAGAGGACCUAUAUAAACCGAAGUAUAUUUACCUGCGGGGAGGACUCCAGCAGCUCCCCCGGCCGCGCCGCUUUGUUCCCCGUGCCGCUCCGCACCUCCAGGGACUGGCUGCCGCAGAGCCCGGGCGCCUGGUGGAACCUGCUGACAAAAAGCGCGUGCUGGAAUUGCUUUGGCAAAAUCUCACAUGUGGAUUAUCCCAACUUUCUCUCUCAUUAAGAAGAUGGAGUAGAAAUGAAGAGCUGCUAGAAUAUCCCAAGUUCGAAGGGACCCAUAAGGAUCACCGAGUCCAACUUCUGGCUCCACAGGAUCACCCAAAAAUCAGACCAUAUGUCCGACAGCAUUGUUGGGAUGCUUCUUGAACUCGGGUAAGCUUGGUGCUGGGACCACUUCCUUGUCUGAUCACAUUGUCAGUGAAGAACCUUUUCCUGAUAUCCAACCUGAACCUCCUCUGUCAUCAAUCAUUAUCAAUAAUACUAUAGUAAUCUACCAGUGCAGAUACAGUUCUCUUUUUCUAGCAAAACUAUUCAAAAAUAAUACUUCAAAUUAUAAUAGCCAAAUUAUUCCACGGUUAAACAGCAAAAACCAGGAAGGGGAUGCUUAUGAGUGUGAAUGAUUGUGUGGGCUACCACAGGACUAAAUAUGUAAUUAAACUGUUUUCUUCUCUUUACUGUGCCAGAUAAUAAUUGUGUGGUUCUGUUUGACUUUCAAGUAAGUUACUGAUGUACGCAUUGCUGUUUGCUGCUUUACCACCACACUUUGCAUCCUUACUACAGCAGAAUCCAAGAUGGAGUUCAGACUGGCCAAAUACAGCAUGUUAAAUAAUCAACUUUAUCAGUAAAGUCCAGAAUUUAUGCUCUAAGAGACAGACAAAGCUGAAAUAACAGUUUCCUAAAGUAGGCUAGAAAAAGAUAAAGGAAGAGUGAAAGAAUCAAAUUUACCUACAUUUGAGAGAGCAGCAGCAGAUUUCACAUGAUUUAGGGUAAAAGCUAGGCUUGUGGAAGGAUCAGUAUUGUCUGGUCCCUUUUUCCUUCGAAAUACAAUCACAGA